rnacentral:ncRNA from 2 species
AGGGUCGGGCGCACCGACGGUUCACCGGGGAAUCCACUCCGGUGAGGCAAGAGGGAACCCGGUGCGACUCCGGGACUGCCCCGCAGCGGUGAGUGGGAACGAGAGCCGUCAGACGCACUGGGUGCACACCUGGGAAGCGACGGCCGGUAGGUGCGAGCAGGUCGACGGACCGGCGCGCGAGCCCACGAGUCCGAAGACCUGCCAUCGGUCCGCGCACCGC